CAGCCGCCGCGGGAAUACGUAGGUGGCAAGCGUUGUCCGGAAUUAUUGGGCGUAAAGGGCUCGCAGGCGGUUUCUUAAGUCUGAUGUGAAAGCCCCCGGCUCAACCGGGGAGGGUCAUUGGAAACUGGGAAACUUGAGUGCAGAAGAGGAGAGCGGAAUUCCACGCGUAGCGGUGAAAUGCGUAGAGAUGUGGAGGAACACCAGUGGCGAAGGCGACUCUCUGGUCUGUAACUGACGCUGAGGAGCGAAAGCGUGGGGAGCGAACAGGAUUAGAUACCCCGGUAGUCCCUGUCUCUUAUAC
rnacentral:rRNA from 1 species